GUCAUAACCUUAGAUUUAUUAUCCGCCAGAGAACUACUAGCGAAAAGCUUAAAACUCAAAGGAUUUGGCGGUGCUCCACCCAACCUAGAGGAGCCUGUCCUAUAAUCGAUACCCCACGAUCAACCUCACCAUCUUUAGCAACCUCAGUUUAUAUACCGCCGUCGUCAGCUUAUCUUGCAAAAACCCAAAAAUAAGCAAAAUAGUCCACCACUAAAACGUCAGGUCAAGGCGUAGCUCAUAAGAUGGCAGUGAUGGGCUACACUCUCCAUAUAGUGGAGAAAACGAAAGAUAUGGUGCAACCAAUAUCAGAAGGCGGAUUUAGAAGUAAAAUUAACCAGAACAUCAAUUU
rnacentral:rRNA from 1 species